GCCUUCGUAGUGUACUGGUCAGCACGCUCGGCGCGUAUUCGAGCAAUCCGUGGUUCGAGUCCCGUCGAGGGCA
rnacentral:tRNA from 1 species